rnacentral:rRNA from 2 species
CCGCAAGGUUAAAACUCAAAUGAAUUGACGGGGGCCCGCACAAGCGGUGGAGCAUGUGGUUUAAUUCGAUGCAACGCGAAGAACCUUACCUGGUCUUGACAUCCACAGAACUUUCCAGAGAUGGAUUGGUGCCUUCGGGAACUGUGAGACAGGUGCUGCAUGGCUGUCGUCAGCUCGUGUUGUGAAAUGUUGGGUUAAGUCCCGCAACGAGCGCAACCCUUAUCCUUUGUUGCCAGCGGUCCGGCCGGGAACUCAAAGGAGACUGCCAGUGAUAAACUGGAGGAAGGUGGGGAUGACGUCAAGUCAUCAUGGCCCUUACGACCAGGGCUACACACGUGCUACAAUGGCGCAUACAAAGAGAAGCGACCUCGCGAGAGCAAGCGGACCUCAUAAAGUGCGUCGUAGUCCGGAUUGGAGUCUGCAACUCGACUCCAUGAAGUCGGAAUCGCUAGUAAUCGUGGAUCAGAAUGCCACGGUGAAUACGUUCCCGGGCCUUGUACACACCGCCCGUCACACCAUGGGAGUGGGUUGCAAAAGAAGUAGGUAGCUUAACCUUCGGGAGGGCGCUUACCACUUUGUGAUUCAUGACUGGGGUGAAGUCGUAACAAGGUAACCGUAGGGGAACCUGC